rnacentral:rRNA from 1 species
UACGGAGGAUGCGAGCGUUAUCCGGAUUUAUUGGGUUUAAAGGGUGCGUAGGCGGGCUGUUAAGUCAGCGGUCAACUGUCGGGGCUCAACCCCGGCCUGCCGUUGAAACUGGCGGCCUCGAGUGGGCGAGAAGUACGCGGAAUGCGUGGUGUAGCGGUGAAAUGCAUAGAUAUCACGCAGAACUCCGAUUGCGAAGGCAGCGUACCGGCAUCCAACUGACGCUGAGGCACGAAAGCGUGGGGAUCAAACAGG